rnacentral:piRNA from 1 species
UGGCUCAGUAACCCCACGGGAGC